UACGUAGGGUGCGAGCGUUAAUCGGAAUUACUGGGCGUAAAGCGUGCGCAGGCGGUGAUGUAAGACAGAUGUGAAAUCCCCGGGCUCAACCUGGGAACUGCAUUUGUGACUGCAUCGCUGGAGUGCGGCAGAGGGGGAUGGAAUUCCGCGUGUAGCGGUGAAAUGCGUAGAUAUGCGGAGGAACACCGAUGGCGAAGGCAAUCCCCUGGGCCUGCACUGACGCUCAUGCACGAAAGCGUGGGGAGCAAACAGG
rnacentral:rRNA from 1 species